rnacentral:pre_miRNA from 3 species
CAGCGUCUUUCGUCCCGCCCGCUCUCCCUGCCAUGUGGUGGCCGGGCGAGGGCCUCGGGGUAGCAC